UGAGGAAUAUUGGGCAAUGCCCGAAAGGGUGACCCAGCAACGCCGCGUUGAGGAUGAAGGUCGUAAGAUUGUAAACUCCUGUUAGAGGGGAAGAAUAGCUAAGUUUGGAGCUUAGUAUGACUGUACCCUCAGAGAAAGCCCCGGCUAACUACGUGCCAGCAGCCGCGGUAAUACGUAGGGGGCAAGCGUUGUCCGGAUUUACUGGGUGUAAAGGGCGCGCAGGCGGAAUGGAAAGUCAGUGGUGAAAUCCUACAGCUUAACUGUAGAAAUGCAUUUGAUACUUUCAGUCUUGAGUUCGGGAGAGGGAGACGGAAUUCCAGGUGUAGUGGUGAAAUACGUAGAUAUCUGGAAGAACACCAGUUGCGAAGGCGGUCUCUUGGUCCGAUACUGACGCUGAGGCGCGAAAGCGUGGGGAGCAAACA
rnacentral:rRNA from 1 species